rnacentral:rRNA from 1 species
UACGAAAGGAGCAGGUGUUAUUCAGAUUAACUGGGCGUAAAGGGCACGUAGGUGGUUUGUUAUGUGUACUAUAAAAUUAUAAAGCAUAACUUUAUACUGUAGUAUAGACAACUAAACUAGAGUUAGGUAGAGGGUCGUGGAAUUCCCAGUGUAGAGGUGAAAUUCGUAGAUAUUGGGAAGAACACCGGUGGCGAAGGCGGCGACCUGGUCCUUUUACUGACGCUGAGGCGCGAAAGCGUGGGGAGCAAACAGG